UACGAAGGGGGCGAGCGUUGUUCGGAUUUACUGGGCGUAAAGGGCGCGUAGGCGGCUAUUCAAGUCAGGCGUGAAAGCCCCGAGCUUAACUCGGGAAGUGCUUUUGAUACUGCAGAGCUUGAAUGUGGGAGAGGGUAGUGGAAUUCCAGGUGUAGUGGUGAAAUACGUAGAUAUCUGGAGGAACACCGGUGGCGAAGGCGGCUACCUGGCCCAACAUUGACGCUGAGACCCGAAAGCAUGGGGAUCAAACAGG
rnacentral:rRNA from 1 species